GGUUUUCAUCAAGGGUGAGAGUGAGAGUGAGAGAGAGUUGAAGGUGUCUGUCUUCUUAUUUGAGGGGAAUGUUGGCUGGCUCGAGGCUUUUCAGUUUCACAAAGGAAGUUCAGUCUUAAUUGUAUGAACUAUAAGGCUUCGGACCAGGCUUCAUUCCCCUCAAAAUCUUAAUUGUUUCUUCUUGUGAGUUUAUCCUUAUUAUAUAUGAAAUCAUCUCUAUAUAUCUACCUAUUUAGAUUUGUAAAGAUCAAAGAGAAGCAAGAGUUAGGUUGAGAGGAACGUUGUCUGGCUCGAGGUGAUGGAGAUGGAAGAGUACUCUCUACUCACUCAUCACUAACUUUCAAUCUCGGACCAGGCUUCAUUCCCCCCAGCAAACUUUUGCUAGCUAUACUUCAUUUUCCUAAUUUCUCCUUCAUAUGUAGCAUCAUUUUCUUCUUCUGGUUUGGUUUUGGUAAGGUUUUCUGCUCCUUCUCAUAGUUUCUGUCACAUAUAUAGCAUAAAACAAGUCUCUUUUAUGGUUGUUGAUAUGGUUUGUUUCUCAGGUAAGGUUAGAAUUUUCUGCUCAAAUUAUUAGCUCUUGUAUAUUUUGUUGUCAUCACCAUUCACCUUAUCUUAUAUUUUGGUUUAUUGUGAAGCUUAACUUCUUCAAAGCAGUAGUAAUUUCAAGCAAGAAAGAACAGAAAUAUAAUUUCCAAUGAGUUCAUCAUGAUGUGUACUUUUACAAUGAUAUUUUUGCAUAAAGUUUUCUGGAUCUGAAACUUUUCAGACAUCUUCAGAUUAUGGGAUUUAAGAAGAGGAACAGUGCAAAUCUCUCUAGUUUUCUGGUAUAAUUAUUAGUAUUAUUAUUAAUAAAUAAAAUGACAGUAACUUUGGUUAAUAUUGUCACCAGGCCCCUACUACCUCUCCUCUCCCUCCGGUGCAGGAACAGGAAUGUUUGUUUUCACGUGGGCAAGCAAUGAAAUGGAAGUACUUGUCUUGAAUCCUGAUGAUCAAGUAUUGAUUGAAAGUUGAAACAAGUAGGUGAGAUUAGAGAUGUGGAGGUGGAACAGUUAACGAGAAGAGAAAGAAUCAUUCAUAUAUUUGAGUAUAUAUCAUCAGGAGAAGCUAUGUAGCUAUAGCUAGGUAUCUGUGUCCUGUGAUGAUCACCAUCUUGUUAGUAAUUUCCAAGAGAAGAGAGCAGAAAAAGAGUAUGACCAGCUUCCAUUGUGAUGCAAUGACUACUUGAGUUAGAUAGAUUUAUAGAUAUAUCUGGAAGAUGUAUAAGAUGAUGCAAAACUAAGGCUCAAAAUAGGGAGAAAUUAAUAAAAAGAAGACAGUACUGUAUGCUUCUGGAUUUUCUAUUUUCAAUGUAUUUGUGUGUGUUUUAGUGUAAUGUAUUUAUGGAGCUUUUAAAGUUGUUGAAAAAUCAGAAGCCAUGUUUGGAAAAAGCUCAUAUCAGCAAUAUUAUCAGCUUCUUCUUCCUCUACCUCGUGGAGUCAGAUAUCUUUUGGCGUUUCAAAUUGAAUGACUGAAAACAAUUUCUUGGGAGAGAGAGAGUGAGUAAUAUGAUAAAUUAAUACACUA